rnacentral:rRNA from 1 species
AUUGAACGCUGGCGGCAUGCUUUACACAUGCAAGUCGAGCGGCAGCGCGGGGGGCAACCCUGGCGGCGAGCGGCGAACGGGUGAGGAAUACAUCGGAACGUACCCCGGAGUGGGGGGAUAACGCCGCGAAAGCGGCGCUAAUACCGCAUAUGCUCUGAGGAGGAAAGUGGGGGACCUGCAAGGGCCUCACGCUCUGGGAGCGGCCGAUGUCCGAUUAGCUAGUUGGUGGGGUAAAGGCCCACCAAGGCGACGAUCGGUAGCUGGUCUGAGAGGAUGAUCAGCCACACUGGGACUGAGACACGGCCCAGACUCCUACGGGAGGCAGCAGUGGGGAAUUUUGGACAAUGGGGGCAACCCUGAUCCAGCCAUGCCGCGUGCGGGAAGAAGGCCU